GUACGGGGGGAGCAAGCGUUGUUCGGAUUUACUGGGCGUAAAGGGCGCGUAGGCGGCGCAACAAGUCACUUGUGAAAUCUUCAGGCUUAACCUGAAGCGGCCAAGUGAUACUGUCGUGCUAGAGUGCGGAAGGGGCAACUGGAAUUCUUGGUGUAGCGGUGAAAUGACGUAGAUAUCAAGAGGGAACACCUGGCGGCGAAGGCGGGUUGCCUGGGCCGACAUUGACGCUGGAGGCGACGAAAGCUAGGGGAGCAAACAGG
rnacentral:rRNA from 1 species